CGUAGGUGGCGAGCGUUGUCCGGAAUUACUGGGCGUAAAGGGAGCGUAGGCGGUUUUUUAAGUGGGAUGUGAAAUCCCCGGGCUUAACCUGGGAAUGGCAUUCCAAACUGGGAAACUAGAGUGCAGGAGAGGAAAGUGGAAUUCCAAGUGUAGCGGUGAAAUGCGUAGAGAUUUGGAGGAACACCAGUGGCGAAGGCGACUUUCUGGACUGUAACUGACGCUGAGGCUCGAGAGCGUGGGGAGCAAACAGGAUUAGAUACCCUGGUAGUCCACGCUGUAAACGAUGAAUACUAGGUGUUGGGGGCUAAGCCCUCAGUGCCGCAGUUAACACAUUAAGUAUUCCGCCUGGGGGGUACGAUCGCAAAGAUUA
rnacentral:rRNA from 1 species